rnacentral:rRNA from 1 species
GAAUGAGAUCAUGCCCUGAACAAGCCCGAUGUCUGAACUUGGAAGCUAAGCAGGGUCGGGCCUGGUUAGUACUUGGAUGGGAGACCACCUCGGAAGACCAGGUGCUAUAGGCA